rnacentral:rRNA from 1 species
GAUGAACGCUGGCGGCGUGCCUAACACAUGCAAGUCGAGCGGCAGCGAGGGGUGCUUGCACCCUGUCGGCGAGCGGCGGACGGCUGAGUAACGCGUGGGAACGUGCCCCAAAGUGAGGAAUAACUGCCCGAAAGGGUAGCUAAUACCGCAUAUUAUCUUCGGAUCAAAGGAUUUAUCCGCUUUGGGAGCGGCUCGCGUCGGAUUAGGUAGUUGGUGAGGUAAUGGCUCACCAAGCCGACGAUCCGUAGCUGGUCUGAGAGGAUGACUAGCCAGACUGGAACUGAGACACGGUCCAGAAUCCUACGGGAGGGAGGAGAGAGGAAUCUAGCACAGUGGGCGAAAGGCUGAUGGAGCAACGCCGCGUGAAGGAUGAAGGCAUUCGGGUUGUAAUGUGCUUUUAUAAGUGAGGAAUAUGACGGUAACUAAUGAAUAAGGAACGGCUAACUACGUG